GGUUGGUCCCAGGACUUCUGGCAUUACAAUGAAAAUAUCUUCCCACCUUGCUAACAGUGUAGCUGGUCAGUUUGUUCUGAUGCCGCUGAUGUUGAGAGGGACUGGAAGGUACACAACGUACUAUGGAAAAAUACAUCUUGCAUACUGAUGAAAGGACUAACGGACAACCAGAACAAUUUAAUCGGUUGUGGGAGAGAAUAGCUGAGGAAAGAGAACAUAGAGUGGAUAACCCUAUUUCAACUGUGGGUAUGAGUAGUGCUGCUGCUUUUUCCACUGAAUUACACGAAAUGUGUAGUAAAUUGGAGAAUCUCCUUUUUAAAGAAACAAUAGUGCAUUUUACUAUUUUAAGCUUAUGGAGAUGCUUGGAACUUGAUACAUCUCCAAGGGACUUAGGAGUGAUGAAAAGCCCCAGUACUCCUUUUGAUCCUAAUUGUGAGUAAGUGGUGGAUAGCGACAGCACAUCAUUGUUCCUUUGAGUGGAUUAAAAUACUAAUAUAUUGUGAUAUGGCUAAACAAUGUAAAUUAAAAGAGAAAGUACAAAAGUUUUGUUUGGAUUUGACUGUACAACUCUGUUCUGCUUGGCUGGAUAACUUCUUAAAAGAAGUUAAUGAUAAAUUGAAGACUUUUGAGGAAGAUCUAACUGAUCUUAAAAAGAAGAAAUUCAAAUGAGAUGUUCCUGACUAUGGUAACAGUAAAGCUUUUUUUUGUGGCAGUUUAAAUCUCGUGGUCUGCAAACAUCAGUACGUCAGAGCAGAAGUUAUAAAAAAAAAUGGUGACUUUCGUUUUCCUCCUCAGAAGGUUCUGAGACCAUUACAAAUUGGGAGAGUGAUGGCGGAGCAUACCCCUCCUUUACCAGCUGCACGGGAUCCUGAAGGGCAUGAUAAGCGAUUUCAGAGAGGGGGACAACAUAUUGAACACAAUACCAACAGAAAGAGAGGGAGGAAUAAUUAUGAACAAAAUAACAUACCUGGACAGAAACAAUACACUAAAAAAACCUAGAUGGUAUUUCUUUCUUAAAUAAUUGUAAUUUGGUAGUUAAUCUUUUUGGAUGUGAUUUGUCUAAUGCAUUUUUAUCUGCUUUGAAUGUAGGCCUUAAGUAUGUACCUACUGUUCUACCUAGGAUGCAUGUAUUUAAGUGUGAGAUUUUCUGUUUAGUACAAAAACUCUACCUUGUAUGUUUUUUUGAAAAUAAUGUUAAACAAAAUGGAAAUGUGAAUACUGUUGACAUGGAAGAUAUUACAGAAAUCUUUGAGGAAAGUUUUUUUUCUCUUCUGUGUCUGAAUUAUCGGAAGAUUAAUGGGAUAACCCCAAUGCUUAUUGUUUUAAUGCCAAAGAUAUUGAGUAUAAAAGCACAUUUAUACCUCUCUUUACAAAUGAAAUAGUAAAAAAAUUUUCUGCGGCUUUUGGCUUUGCCAUUGACAGUUUAGUUUCAGAUUUUAAUAAGAAUAGAUAGGAUGUGGAAUAUAAUCUUACUAAGGAACAGUGGCAAGCAGUAAUAGAUAUGAGUAAAAAUCGUAAUUUGCUAAAGCCUGCAGAUAAAGAGGAAUAAAAUUAUUGUACUAAAUUACAAACCGUAUUUGAAGAUAUGAUCAUUUGCAUAAUGAGGUGUAAGAAAAAUGUGACAGUGUUAUAUCUGGAAGCCAUUUUGAGAUAUCAGGAAUUAUGGAAUAAAGGAUGUAGGUUGGGAUAUUUUGUGAUAUUUUGUGAAAAAUUAUCUUGAAAAAAGUUUGAAAUCUCUAAUUGUGGUAUGGCCAUGUUUUACUCUGAACCCAAGAUACAUAAAGGUUUAGAUCAUUUAACGGGCCAUCCUAUAGUGUCUGUCUGUCUGUAGAUAUUUUUUAAAUAAUAUAGGCAUUUUUUUACACAGAUUUUUAUUUCCUUUUGUUCAAAAAAUCCCCUCUUCUAUAAGAGGUACUCAAGAUUUUCUUCAGAAAAUAUCACUGUUAAGAUGGGAACAUGAUAUGUUCUGGAUGACUCUUGAUGUCAAGAGCCUUUAUGCAAACAUCCAACAUAAACAUGGGGUAGAGCCACUACAGUAUUUUUACGGGAUUAUCCCCUUUCAAAUUAUAUUAUAGAACUUUUUAUUUUAGUUUGACUAAUAUUUUUUUCAGCUUUAGUAAUGAGCUUGUUCAUCAGAAACAGGGGACAGCUAUGGGUGCUUCUUUUGCUCCCAUGUACGGUAAUUUAAUUUGAAGUGGAUUUUUUUAUAUCAACAUGAGUUUUAUAAAAAAAAAAAUGUUAAAUGCACAGAUUUCAUUUUUGUGUAUAAGGGGGGGGGUACAUCAGUUUGUUGAUGUGCAAUACAAUAGUUUUCAGUUGUAAUUCGAAGGCUUACAGUGGGGUUUGGAAGUUAAUUUUUUAGAUUUCGUUUUUACUGGUUCUGAGGAAGGUAAAAUUAGUACCUCUGUGCAUAGAAAAUCUGCAGAGAAUAACCUAUAUUUACAUGGCUGUAGUUGCCAUCCUCACCAUCUUAAGGCUACCCUACCUUACGGGGAAUUUUUGAGACUCAAAUUAUGCGGUGAGGAUGCAGACUUUUUUAAUGAGAGUCAGAGGACUAUAUGGAUAUGUUGUAAGUAGAGGCUAUGCAAGAAAGGAAAUUGUUGAUUCAUUACAGAGUCUUAUCCUGAUGAGAAGUAAAAAUAAUGUAACUUCUCAGUUCAGAAAUGUUGAUAAUUGUGACUGUAGACAUAGGCAUUAUUAGGAAAAUAAACAGUAGUAACAAGACCACCAACAAGAGGAAUGUUUAUUUUGUGAGUAUAAUGUUCUUAGUGAACAAAUAGUUAAACUUUUAAAAUACUAUUGGUCAAUUUUAUUAAAAGCCAAAAAUUUGGUAAAUUUAAUUAAAUCUUUUCAUGUAUUUCUUUUAAAAGAGGACGUAGUUUGGCAGAUUUGUUAGUUCAUAGUAAAAUUGAAUUACCAAUAACUGGGGUUCAGAGGCAAAUGAAUAUCAAAUGUGGAACAUAUAGUUGUGGAAAAUGUUCUAUUUGUAGUUAUAUUUGUAAAUAAUUUUUUCUAGGAUCAAAAAUGGUGUUAAUUUUAAACCUGUAAAUUGGUUUAAUUGUAAUUCUGAAAGAAUCAUGUAUGCUCUGUUUAAAGAAACAAUGUACAUUUUAAAAUAUGACACUCUGCUUCCUGCAGGGUUGAACAAUUAAUGUAACUGGAAGUAUAUAAUUAAGUACUUAAUUGAAUUUAUUGUGUGUUAAUUGUAUCCUAUUUUAAGGAGCUGUUUUUUGAUAGUGUAAUAUACUCUUUGAAGGUUUUUGUUGGCUGAGGUGUGGCUGUGGUUUCAUAAUUUUGUGUUCAUCUUUGGUGGUACACUAGAAAGAUAUUGUCUGUAUUUUUGCAGUAAGACUUUGUAGUUGGCAGUGAGCAGGAGUCAAAGCCAGAUCUAAAGUGAGCCUGGUAUAAAGACUGAAAUGAGCCCAGGUGAUGAAAUGCAGUCUCUAAAUUCUUGCUUUGUAUCUUUGUUUCUAUGUUUAUUAUAGUAAGAAGGUCACAAGAGCAUGAAAGAUUAAAUAAAACUGUUAAUUGUGUAUAUUUUCAUUUACCUUUCUGUUGAUUUUACCUUAACUGAGUAUGUCCCUUAGUGCUUCUGUUAGUAAUUUCAUGUACACUGGCUGCUGCCUCAUAAUUUUAUCUGUGUGCCUGCUUCUAUCUGUCUUCCCCCAUCC